rnacentral:rRNA from 1 species
GAUGAACGCUAGCUACAGGCUUAACACAUGCAAGUCGAGGGGUAACAAGAGAAAAGCUUGCUUUUCUUGUUGACGACCGGCGCACGGGUGAGUAACGCGUAUCCAACCUGCCUAUAACUAGGGAAUAACCUUGCGAAAGUAAGACUAAUACCCUAUGAUUUCCUUUGAUUGCAUCAGAUUAGGAAUAAAGAUUUAUCGGUUAUAGAUGGGGAUGCGUCUGAUUAGCUUGUUGGCGGGGUAACGGCCCACCAAGGCAACGAUCAGUAGGGGUUCUGAGAGGAAGGUCCCCCACAUUGGAACUGAGACACGGUCCAAACUCCUACGGGAGGCAGCAGUGAGGAAUAUUGGUCAAUGGGCGGAAGCCUGAACCAGCCAAGUAGCGUGCAGGAUGACGGCCCUAUGGGUUGUAAACUGCUUUUAUACAGGAAUAAAGUUAGCCACGUGUGGUUAUUUGUAGGUACUGUAUGAAUAAGGACCGGCUAAUUCCGUGCCAGCAGCCGCAGUAA